GACGAACGCUGGCGGCGUGCUUAACACAUGCAAGUCGAACGGAAAGGCCUCUUUCGGGGGGUACUCGAGUGGCGAACGGGUGAGUAACACGUGAGUAACCUGCCCUUGACUUUGGGAUAACUUCAGGAAACUGGGGCUAAUACCGGAUAGGAGCUCCUGCUGCAUGGUGGGGGUUGGAAAGUUUCGGCGGUUGGGGAUGGACUCGCGGCUUAUCAGCUUGUUGGUGGGGUAGUGGCUUACCAAGGCUUUGACGGGUAGCCGGCCUGAGAGGGUGACCGGCCACAUUGGGACUGAGAUACGGCCCAGACUCCUACGGGAGGCAGCAGUGCGGAAUAUUGCACAAUGGGUGGAAGCCUGAUGCAGCAACGCCGUGUGCGGGAUGACGGCCUUCGGGUUGUAAACCGCUUUCGCUCAUGACGAAGCUUUGUGUGACGGUAGUGGGUAAAGAAGCACCGGCUAACUACGUG
rnacentral:rRNA from 1 species